rnacentral:rRNA from 1 species
GAUAUUGCACAAUGGGGGAAACCCUGAUGCAGCGACGCCGCGUGAGGGAAGAAGGUCUUCGGAUUGUACACCUUUGUCUUCAGGGACGAAACUGACGGUACCUGAGGAGGAAGCCACGGCUAACUACGUGCCAGCAGCCGCGGUAAUACGUAGGUGGCAAGCGUUAUCCGGAAUUACUGGGUGUAAAGGGAGCGUAGGCGGGGCGAUAAGUCAGAUGUGAAAUACCGGGGCUCAACUCCGGGGCUGCAUUUGAAACUAUUGUUCUUGAGUGAAGUAGAGGCAAGCGGAAUUCCUAGUGUAGCGGUGAAAUGCGUAGAUAUUAGGAGGAACACCAGUGGCGAAGGCGGCCACCUGGGCUAAUACUGACACUGAGGUGCGAAAGCGUGGGGAGCAAACAGG